ACAAAGACACGUCAAAACUUUGGAAUGAGAGAAGAAGCGACGAAAUCUGAUACUCUGCUCGAAUUCUCUAAAGAAUGAGCUAAGUGGAUGAAAUUUGAAACGAAAGAGAUGGGAGAAUUAGAAAAUAUUAUUGAGGAAAAAGUUGAGUAUCUUUGAUAAUGAUUUCCAUUUCCAUUAAUAGUCAUUAUGAAGAUGUACCUACCUAUUAGCUUUCAAAUGAAAUGAAAUAAGAUGUCAGAUAAAGAUAACUUACAGUGUCUUACCCAACACAUGUGUACACACUACUAUCACUGGAGGCCUUACCUCAGAUAUAAAGGAAGAAGUUAUUGAAUUAGUUGAACAGUUCAUUGAUGGCAAUAGAAAUUAUGAAAGAAACUCAUUUAUUCUAGAAUGCAAAAUAGAAGAUUGUAAUUCCAUCGAUGAAAAGCAACAUGAGUGCAAUACAGGAAUACUUAUGCCACAGGAAGAUCUUGAUAUGGAUGAACAGUCCACUUAUAAGAAUACAGGAUAUGAGUUGUACAUUUCAGAAUGCAAAACAGUUGAAUUGAAUGGACAAUGUAAUUCCAUUGGUAAAAAGGAACAUAGGAGAAAUGCAUGUGAUACAGAAAAACCUACUCAUUUGAAGAAAUAUAAAUAUAUUUUCUGCAUAAAUUAAUUUAAUUUCUGUGACUAUGCUGCAGCUCGAAAAAUUACCCUGGAAAACCAUAUCAAUGCAAUUCAUUUGAAUAACAAAAAAUAUAAAUGUCACUUAUGUGAGUAUUGUGCAACCCAGAAACUGAUUCUCCAAGAUCACAUAAAUGCUGUUCAUUUGAAUAAGAAAGAAUAUAAGUGUGAUUCAUGUGAGUAUGCUUCAAACUACUAAGGAAAUGCUGUCCAUUUAAAUAAAAAAGAGUAUAAGUGUCACUUAUGUGAGUAUGCCUGCACCAUAAGAGCAAAUCUACUUAAACACAUAGAUGCUUAUUUAAAUAAAAGGAAACAUAAAUGUCAUUUCUGUGACUAUGCUGCAAACCAGAAAGGUGUUCUCCAAAAUCACAUAUCGACAAUCCAUCAUUUGAAUAAAAAACGACAUGUGUCACUUUUGUGAGUAUUCUGCAACACAGAAAGUGAAUCUCCAAAUACAUUUAAAUACUGUUCAUUUGAAAAAACUAACAUUUAAGUGUCAUCUCUGUAAGUAUGGAGCAACCCGAAAUCAUAGACUUAAAAAUCAUAUAAAUGCUAUUCAUUUGAACAACAAUAAAUAUAAAUGCCAUUCAUGUGAAUAUUCGGCAAAUGUGAAAAGGAGCCUCGAAUAUCAUAUUAAUGCAAUUCAUCCGAAAAACAAAAAUUAAGAAUGUCGCUUUUGAGAAUAUACUGUAAACCGGAAAGAAAAUCAUUCGAAACACAUCAAUACUGUUCAUUUGAAUAUGAGAGAAUGAUUGUCAUUUCUGUGAGUAUUCUGAAAACCUGAAUGUUGACUUCCAAAAUCACACAUUGUCAAUCUAUUUGAAGAAAAAAGGCUAUGAGUGUGUUUUAUGUAAUUACUCUGCAAACCACAAAUUGAAUCUUUAAGAGCUCACAAAUGCUGUUCAUAUGAAUAAAAAAAGCUGUAAGUGUCACUUAUGUGAUUAUACUGGAACACUAUAGGUGCAUUUCCAAAAUCACAAGAAAGCUAUUCAUUUCAAGUCUUUUUAAAUAAAACAAACAUUUUUGAAAAACAAUAUGUUAUUAUAACUGAAUGGAAAUUAAAGUCCUUAAGUACUCUAAUAGAAUGCUAGAUUGUUAGUUUCUCUAAGUUAUUUCUUGAAGUUUACUUUAAGGAAACCGAUAGUGAUCUCAAGAUGGAAUGUGGCGUUAGAUAUAUAAAAAACUGGCAUUCCUUAAUUGCAAUCUGCUUAAAUCUGAUAUGGAUAAUGGAAGGCAAAAUUGUUCUGAUCAUGGUAAAAAUUCAUAUAAGUAAUAUACACAUAAGUAUGGUGAAAUUUCUAAGUAACUGUUAUUCAUGCUUAAACAUUCUAUAAUGCUGAUGAGGAAAAUACCUUGGGUGAUUGGGUGAUGAUUUAUUGAAACAAUAUGAAAAAAACACAUUUUGGUUUGUAAUUGAUAGAUUUUGUAAUAUGACCAAAAAUAAAUCUACGGCAAAUCUUACAAUAUGCCCACAAUACUUUUUGAUCUAUUCAAACUGCAAUGACUGCUACCAAAAUUAUUUAAAAUGAGUCAGAAAUUCUGGAUUUACCAGCAAAAUAUUCAAGUUCUAUAAAGAAUACAAAGAAAAAUUUAGACAAAUUUGCAGAAGAGAAGAAAAAUUAUUGAAAGAAAUAAGACAAGUGUGAGCAAUCAUAAACAAUAAAAAAAUCUACUAAUAAAAAAGUUGUGAGCAUUGAUACUUUCAACAAUUAUUUCGUAUAAUCCGAAAAGCAAUUAUUCAAAACUAAAACUCCCUAACAAGCAGAAAAACAGCAAAGAAGCUAUUAAGGAAGCAUAAAUCACAUCUACAAGAAAAUUCCAAAUUUUAUCCAACAACAGAAUUUGGGAUUGCAAAAAUCAUUUUCACAGCAAAUACAUAGCAGAUGUCUACUGUCAAGUGUAUUACUAGAGCCUUACCAUAAUUUUUUACUGUUAUAGUUAACAAAUGCUUGGAAGGAGUGUUUCCGGUUGAGAAUAAGACAGACAGAGUCAUACAAAUUUAUAAAAAAUGACAUGAAGUCAAGAGCUUUUUUGCUCUUUCAUUAAUGAUCCAAUCAAAAGCUCUUGACUCAUCAGUUUUUAAUUAAAUGAAUGUAUAUCGUUCUUAAAAAUCUAUCUAUGAGGAUGCCAAUGAAUUGGACGAUAUCUAUUAUACCAGGAGAGUUGUGUUAGAAACCAGAACAUAGAUACUAAUCAUUUCUAUCAAAUGCAGAACUUACAUAAGAGAGUUUAUGGACGACAGAAGUUUCAAAUGAACUAUGGAAUUUAAAAAAAAGGAAUAAUUUAUCUAUGACGAUAGUUUACCUGAUAUAUUUUGAAUUUAAUAAUUUUAUUCAAGUGAUCUCUACUAUUUAGAAUGUAUUGAGGUUAUUUAUAUCUUAUUUUUUCAAACAUCAUUGCUGAAAAUCAGAAAUUUCUGAAAAGAUGUAUGAUGAUAUAAAGUUCAUAAUAAAUAUCAGAAUUGUGUUGUUAAGACUUCAUUGGAUGUGAUGUUGACCAAGAAAUUUUACAUAGAAUGCAUAGAAAGGUAAUGAUUAAAUAUCAAUUUUUUUCAUUUUAUUUGAAUAUGUCUUCUUGAAAAACAUAAUUCUGUUAUAUUUAGUUUUUGAAAGUAACAUUCCUGUAUAGAAAUCUUAGUUCUUAGCUUAUGUUUUUACAUCAUCGUUCUGUAAUAAAAUUUAGUAUUUGUGCCAAUAAGUGUUUCUUGAUGAAUUUUUUUUUGUGGCUGUUUAUUUUGGAAUUCUAUGAGUUGUUAAUCAGCAUAAAAUUAACUUUAAACUUAACAUUUGACAUUAAGAGAAUGAGAAAAAAAAGUUUAUAGGUAAUGAUCCAAAUUAUUACCAGAAAUCUCCAAAUUACUGUAUACUGUUUCUUAGGUUUCAAAAUAAGAAGGAAUAUUUGAACCAGUAGAUACGACAAAUAACCCUUUUAUUGAAGCAUAACUAAUAUUCAUUUUCAACAACUUGAAAUCAUGAAUAACAAAAUACAAAAUUUCAUAAUGAAUCAUAUGUACUGUGUGCGAAAUCAUCGUUCAUGUAAUAUGGGGAUGGACAGACAUUAACUGAUUCAUAUAUUUCACUAGCAGCUCCCUUCUCCAGAUCUUUGGAUCUUCCACUUAUCACCGGGGGAAAUAUCCUAGGCCUCUGGAGAUAAUCAGAUGGAUACUGAUCUAUGUAGGGUAUGGAGAAUUCUUCAACGGACUCAUAUAUUUUUGGGGUGAGAUAACCAUCACUCCAACUUAUCAACGAGGGUGGAUAUUUAUGUUGUUGGUAGUACUUCUGUUCUUGGUUUGGAUUCCUUUUCACGUAUAUGUACAUCAAACAGAGAGCUAUGAAUAGAAUGCCAAUGAGACCACUGCAAACACUAAUAAUGACAGGAAGCUUCAAUUCGUUAGUUAUCCAGCUCUGCUUUGCCCAUUCUUUA